rnacentral:sRNA from 1 species
GGCCAUGAGGAGCGCAUGCUUGCAUGCAGCGAGUCAUGGACAUUGGACGGGCAAGCCGGUAUGAGUAAGGAGGGCGACAGCCCGGAUUACGAAUACUGGCGGCAGAUGCGGGAGUGCACAGCACGGAGCAUCUGG